UUUUUUUUUUGACUAUCCCUUUGGAUUAAGGUGGAUCUAAUUAAUACAUAUUCUGAAAUAUAGUACCUGGUGUUUUGUACCUAUAUGAUUAUUUUGUUUUUGUAAGGACUCAGAUGGUAAUUUUCUCCAACUCAUUCCGUUACCCUUCCCUGCUUUGUGUUUUGCAAAUUAGUUACAAUUUAACACAAUCAUGAAUCUUUAAUAAAC